GCUGCUCGCACAGAAAUUUCCACCCACAUGCAUGAUGCCAAUUCACGUGCCCAUCACAUGAUACAAAUCCAUGCCCUCUCCCUUCUUUUUAGUUGUUUCCCUCCACCAACAGAAGCUCACCUCGUCCCAAGGAUACCAGAAAGUGUACGUUUUAGUAGAGAAGGUGGCAGUUGAAGCGUCGAGUAGCAAUUGGCGGCAUUAUCGGACGUUCUAUCAAAGUUCGUGUCCUUUGCAAGUCAUGUUCGAAUUAGGUGACUAGGAUAAACGCAGCUUGCGACCUUAAGACAUUCCGAGGACCUAUUCUUGAAGGAAGUAUUUGGAUGCUGCCUUAGGCUAAUCACAUAUAUGCUGAGAAAUUACUAAGAGAGGGUGGUAUCAGUGCUAUAGCUGUAAUCCUCUAUGCAAAGCAAAACUCAAGGAUCCAAGCUGAAAGCACUAGGGAUGGGAAGAGAUUUCUGAGCCAGGCCAUGCAUCUGUGGUAAAGCACAGUUGUUCUAUUGCAAAAUUUGAAAAGAACAAUGUCAUCAUUGAUGAGAGAGUCGAGGAACGAGGAGAAGACAUCGUCGGUGCAGCAGUCGAUGGCUCCAUCUUCUCCACUGUCAGCUGCUCCUUGGCUCCCCUGCAAAUUCAUGGCAGGGAAGCCCUCGGAGUUCUGCCAUCCAUCGUCUCGUUCCAGACUCAAGCCGCCGAAGAAAUCAUCUUGGUCCGCGUGAAUGCCAGCGCCUCCUUGAUCGCCGCUUGUUUGCUGGA